UUAAUAUCGUAUUACCCACCUUUUGAAAUAUUAUAAUGAUCACUAGACACAGGACACGUCUGCGGGGGUCGAUUUAUUUUAGGAAACUGUCCACCGUCGCUGCAGAGUUCUGAUAACUACUGCUGGAACGGAUGACACGACUAAGUUUGACAUCUUGUCGUCGUUGUGCACAUGGUUUUUAUUGAAAUGUACACGUCAUAACAUUAUACUCUGUGGAUAAACACGUGGCCAACAUGGUUAUAUUUUUAUUUUAUUUUUUUACUCAUAGGUAUAACUGGCAAAUAUUUGUAAUUUUGUUCAAAAACAUUACCCCCCCCCCUCCCCAGUAGAAAUAUCUGUGCAAUGUCUUUGGCGUGUAAACAUAAACACUACGUAAUAAUAUAUUCGUCUGUAAAUUCGCCUAAUUCUGCACAUUAGAAUAUUAACC